rnacentral:rRNA from 1 species
UACGGAGGGUGCAAGCGUUAUCCGGAUUCACUGGGUUUAAAGGGUGCGUAGGUGGGCAGGUAAGUCAGUGGUGAAAUCUCCGAGCUUAACUCGGAAACUGCCGUUGAUACUAUUUGUCUUGAAUAUUGUGGAGGUAAGCGGAAUAUGUCAUGUAGCGGUGAAAUGCUUAGAUAUGACAUAGAGCACCAAUUGCGAAGGCAGCUUACUACACAACGAUUGACGCUGAGGCACGAAAGCGUGGGGAUCAAAUAGG